GACUCACCAUGGAGACAUGACCUCCUCCUGCUUCUUGUUGAUAGUAAAUCUGGGCUUUCUUCUGUAUAAAGUGUAGAAUGGCAUCCUCACAAAUACUAGCUCCAGACCCAUUCUGAACCAGAGAGGGCUUUCGGCACUGUCCUUCUCCUGAGUAAUGUGCAUGAACCCUGAUUCUUUGCAUAUUUGAAAUUGUGGCUGCUGCUUGAAAGCAGCUGUUGCCUAAUGGGUGGGAUGCUGGAUGUAGCACAUUGGGUGGGCUUGUUCCAGUCACUAUUGUGCAGCCAAGCCUACCUCAAGUGAUUGUUGCGAAGACAAAGUGGGGAACAGGAGAAGCCAUGUAUGCUACAUGUAUCAGCAGAUACAUUUGUAGUGCGAUCCUGUACAUGUCAGCCCGGAUACCUCAGUUGCUUAGAGCAUGGUGCUGAUAAGGCUAAGGUUACAGGUUCAAUCCGCAUAUGGGACAGCUGCAUCUUCUUGGGGUUGGACUAGAUGAUCCUCAGGAUCCCUUCCAACCGGGGACGGAGGAAGAGGGUGCGGUGGGGGCAGGCCGCCCCGGGUGUCGCCACCGAGGGGGGUGACAAAAUGCUUGGCGGAACUCACCGCGGGGCCUGCAGUGACGCGGUGGCUUGGGCGCCCACAGGCUCCGCGCUGCCCCAAAUGGUCCACCCGCCACCCCCCCUCAGUUGUAGGGAAGGUGAGUGGGAGGAGGCAGACAGACUCCUCAGAGGCCCCGCGGAGCGUCCUGGCCUGGCUUGCCCCGGGCACAGAGCGCACGCGCCGCCCCAGGCGCCUGAUCGGCUUGCUCCGCCGCUGCUUCCAACUGUAUAAUUCUAUGUCUACUCAGAAGUAAGUCCUACUGAGAUCAGUGAGGCUCAUUCAGGUAAGCGGGUAUAAGAUUGGAGAUUUCAUAAGAAAUCCAAUAUUCAGGUAACUUGCAACUUGCACACAUUUAACUUGUGCUUAUUCAGCGUUUUGCACUUGGUAAAAUACUUUUCAAAAAAAUUAUUGGGGGGACAGAAACAGUGCAGGCAUGGGGGGGGGAGAGACUGGCAACCCCACCUGCCAUUGAACCCAAUGUGUUUUGACAAUACGCAAUUUUGACUUAUAACACGCUGUUCCUGGAACGUAACCCCUAAGUUGACAGAUGUCUGUACAUUCAUAUUGCUUUCAUUUGCGCAAGCAUUUUAAUUGAGGGAGCUGAUGUGAAGGCUCAAUAAGGUUGAAAGGUGUGUUUCAAAUUGGGAAAAAUAACAGGAAGCUUCCAUAUUUCAAUUUGGGCCUUGGGUUGUCUCCUUACAGAGUUCCAGGUUCACAGGGAGACUCUCCACUAGUGAAUCAAUAUCUUCAUAAACAACAAAUACUCCAAAAGCAAAGUCCCUUGAUUAACACAACCCAGAUAAGC